CUGCCAUCUGAUCUUUUACUGUCAUAUUAGAGGAGUUCCAAAUCUUUCUAUUCUCACAGCGACAAACGGCCUAGUCACUUGCUCUUUAACUCUCUCCUCCACCAAACAAGAACGUGAUCUCAGCAACCUCGAGAUGUAUGUGCCGUUAUUCCUUGAUAGUCAGAGCACAUCUCUAAAGCUAUUAUCCUUUGACAGGCAACGCAUGUCUCCAAAAGUGAUAGGUAUCGCCUUCACCUAUAAAAUCUUUUCUUCAGAACCCACCAGAUAAGUGAACACCUACCUUGCAAAAGAAGACUGACCUUGCAUGCUUUAUCUCAAAAACAGACCGCAUAUUUAUUGGAAUCAGCUCUUCUAUAGAACUCUGAGUCCACCAUUCUCCACCUUCUAUACAUCAUUCUUUGCUUCUCAUUCUCCAUUUUUCAUUACCAGCUUUUUACUCUUCAUACUCGGCACUACCUUUACUCUUUAUCCACUACAUAGAUCUUCUUUGUUUGUUUUCGUGAGAGAUUGAUUUAGGCAUCAAAGAACCCCCAAC
rnacentral:lncRNA from 1 species